rnacentral:rRNA from 1 species
GACGAACGCUGGCGGCGUGCUUAACACAUGCAAGUCGAACGAUGAAGCCUAGCUUGCUAGGUGGAUUAGUGGCGAACGGGUGAGUAAUACGUGAGUAACCUACCUUUAACUCUGGGAUAAGCCUGGGAAACUGGGUCUAAUACCGGAUACGACCAAUCUCCGCAUGGGGUGUUGGUGGAAAGCGUUAUGUAGUGGUUAUAGAUGGGCUCACGGCCUAUCAGCUUGUUGGUGAGGUAACGGCUCACCAAGGCGACGACGGGUAGCCGGCCUGAGAGGGUGACCGGCCACACUGGGACUGAGACACGGCCCAGACUCCUACGGGAGGCAGCAGUGGGGAAUAUUGCACAAUGGGCGCAAGCCUGAUGCAGCGACGCCGCGUGAGGGAUGACGGCCUUCGGGUUGUAAACCUCUGUUAGCAGGGAAGAAGAGAGAUUGACGGUACCUGCAGAGAAAGCGCCGGCUAACUACGUGCCAGCAGCCGCGGUAAUACGUANGGCGCGAGCGUUGUCCGGAAUUAUUGGGCGUNAAGAGCUUGUANGCCGUUUGUCGCGUCUGCUGUGAAGGCCGGAGCUUAACUCCGUGUAUUGCAGUGGGUACGGGCAGACUAGAGUGCAGUAGGGGAGACUGGAAUUCCUGGUGUAGCGGUGGAAUGCGCAGAUAUCAGGAGGAACACCGAUGGCGAAGGCAGGUCUCUGGGCUGUAACUGACGCUGAGAAGCGAAAGCAUGGGGAGCGAACAGGAUUAGAUACCCUGGUAGUCCAUGCCGUAAACGUUGGGCACUAGGUGUGGGGAACAUUCCACGUUUUCCGCGCCGUAGCUAACGCAUUAAGUGCCCCGCCUGGGGAGUACGGCCGCAAGGCUAAAACUCAAAGAAAUUGACGGGGGCCCGCACAAGCGGCGGAGCAUGCGGAUUAAUUCGAUGCAACGCGAAGAACCUUACCAAGGCUUGACAUAUACUGGACCGCAUCAGAGAUGGUGUUUCCCUUCGGGGCUGGUAUACAGGUGGUGCAUGGUUGUCGUCAGCUCGUGUCGUGAGAUGUUGGGUUAAGUCCCGCAACGAGCGCAACCCUCGUUCUAUGUUGCCAGCACGUUAUGGUGGGGACUCAUAGGAGACUGCCGGGGUCAACUCGGAGGAAGGUGGGGAUGACGUCAAAUCAUCAUGCCCCUUAUGUCUUGGGCUUCACGCAUGCUACAAUGGCCGGUACAGAGGGUUGCGAUACUGUGAGGUGGAGCUAAUCCCUAAAAGCCGGUCUCAGUUCGGAUUGGGGUCUGCAACUCGACCCCAUGAAGUCGGAGUCGCUAGUAAUCGCAGAUCAGCAACGCUGCGGUGAAUACGUUCCCGGGCCU